GAUGAACGCUGGCGGCGUGCCUAAUACAUGCAAGUCGAGCGAACAGACGAGGAGCUUGCUCCUCUGACGUUAGCGGCGGACGGGUGAGUAACACGUGGAUAACCUACCUAUAAGACUGGGAUAACUUCGGGAAACCGGAGCUAAUACCGUAUAAUAUAUUGAACCGCAUGGUUCAAUAGUGAAAGACGGUUUUGCUGUCACUUAUAGAUGGAUCCGCGCCGCAUUAGCUAGUUGGUAAGGUAACGGCUUAUCAAGGCGACGAUGCGUAGCCGACCUGAGAGGGUGAUCGGCCACACGGGAACUGGGACGCGGUCCAGGCUCCUACGGGAGGCAGCAGUAGGGAAUCUUCCGCAAUGGGCGAAAGCCUGACGGAGCAGCGCCGCGUGAGUGAUGAAGGUCUUCGGAUCGUAAAACUCUGUUAUGGGGGAAGAACAAAUGUGUAAGUAACUAUGCACGUCGUGACGGUACCUAGUCAGAAAGCCACGGCUAACUACGUG
rnacentral:rRNA from 1 species